CUCUUGAGUAGCUGGGAUUACAGGCGCCCGCCACCAAGCCCCACUAAUUUUUUUUAUUUUUAGUAGAGAUGGGGUUUCACUAUGUUGACCAGGUUGUUCUUGAACUCCUGACCUUGUGAUCUGCCCGCCUUGGCCUCCCAAAGUGCUGGGAUUACAGGCGUGAGCCACCGCUCCCGGCCAAGACAUGUUAUGUUUUUUCUUACUGAAGAUUUAAUGAUUAAAUGUGUGUCCCUCCAAACUUCAAACUACUUCAAGAGGACAACGUUGCCUUAUUCUUCUGUCUGUCCCUUUUCUGGUCCAUGGUUCAGUGCUGAAUAACUGUUUGACAAAUGAUUGCUGGAUGGAUAUGAAAAUGAAUGAAAGUAUUUCUUCAAAUCUCAGCUAUGAGCAUCACACUACGCACCAUUUUACAAGAGGGCUGAAGCAGUUUAUCUUUAUUGUCCAUUCCAAUUAAGACAUGUUGUCUGUGGUUAAAAACAAACAAGCAACAAAACUAUAAAUAACCUUCAGAUGAAUUCAUUCAGUAACCUGGCUUUAUUUCCUUGUAAAAGUCAAUCUAACAGAUUUUUUUCUUUUUAAUAUUUAAAAAUAAAGCUUGAUUUGUAGGCUGAGUCUGGGGCUCUGGUGAGUUCCUUUCAUUGUUAGAAACCUGUGAAAACAAGGGGUUUAGAUGAGGACAACUGACAGAUCCUUCACUAUGAAAUCACAAAUGGGCACCAUCAUAAUAAUCAGGCGUAUUUAUAAAUCAGAAACAACUUUCCCAGCAAGACUGCUUUACCUCACCUCCCACUGCAUGACUGCUCCUUUCCAGGGCUGUCAACUUGCACUCCUAUUGCUAAUUAACUCACCACUCAAAGCAGGUGAACAGCUAAAGGAAAGAGCCCUCAAUUUUUCCUUCCUGUGUUCAUUCCCCCUUCAGGUCCCUGGACUUUGGGACUCAUUCUGCUCGACUUGAUCCCUGCUCUGCCCAUUGAUCACAUACACACGUUUACACCUGGCAGAAGAGGAAGAGGAGGCAUGAAGGAAUGGCCUCUUCAGAAUGGAGAAAAGCCUUCCCCAUGAGAACAUGCCUAAGACAGACUGCUGAAGAAGGCGGCAAAUGGAACAGCGCUGAAUCAGCCUGGUCAUCCCAGUCAAGCCUCCAGACAUGUAAGCACCCUCCUCUGAUCUGCAGAGCUGCCUGGCCCAAAUACUGUUGACCACUCUUGAGUAAGCCCCACCAAGAUCAGCUGAGAACAGUAGAACUGACCAGAUGACUCUAACCUCAUGAAUAAAUCCAAGUGUUUUUUUAUUU
rnacentral:lncRNA from 10 species